GGGGCUAUAGCUCAGUGGCAGAGCACUUGCCUAGCAUGAAUGAGGAACUAGGUUCAAUUCUUAGUACCACA
rnacentral:tRNA from 1 species